UACGUAGGGGGCUAGCGUUGUCCGGAAUCAUUGGGCGUAAAGCGUGUGUAGGCGGGCGAUCAAGUACCUUGUGAAAUCCCACGGCUCAACCGUGGAACCGCUGGGUAUACUGGUUGUCUUGAGCCGGCUAGGGGCGAGCGGAACAGACGGUGGAGCGGUGAAAUGCGUAGAUAUCGUCUGGAACGCCGAAGGUGAAAACAGCUCGCUGGGGCCGCGCUGACGCUGAGACACGAAAGCCAGGGGAGCGAACGGG
rnacentral:rRNA from 1 species